GGGGAAAUGUGGACACAGAGAGAGGGAAGAAAAGUGAAGACGCAGGGAGAAGAUGGCUCCGUGACUGAGUGACUCAUCUGCAAACUGAAGAAUGCCUAGGCCUGCCAGAAGCUAGGAGAGAGGCCUGGAAAACGUCCUUCCCCAGGGCCUUCGGAGGGAGCAUGGCCUUUCUAAGCCUUGAUUUUGGACUUCCAGCCUCCAAACUUGUGAGACAAUAAAUUUCCAUUAUUCUAAGCAACCCAGUUUAUGGUACUUUGUUACUGCAGCCCUUAGCCAACUAAUACAGAGCCUUUGAUCAAAUCUGGACCAGGAUUAAGAGGGUUUUAGAUCGCUUUCCUAUUUCCAUUACAGGGAGCAAGUUCCUUUAGGCUUUUACCCUUUUUCUGGCAACUCUAAGCCAGCACUUCAUAUAAAAUAGCCAGAGAGAAAGCCCACUCUAUGUAGAGUUUAUGAAGAUCACUUUCUCACACUAUCCUUUUUCAAAAAUCCAUCACUUUGAAUUAAGAAAAUAAUCCCGUGAAGAAAACCUUGGAAAUAUUUCCUACAAUCAAUAAUUAGCCAAUUGCCUUAGUUUCCUAUAACUGCUAUAAUAAAAGAGGUCUCUCUCCUCCCUUUUUGUUUCUGUUGCUUCAUCACUGUUACUGUCUUUGAACCUCCUACCUCCCUCUUAUAAAGGCCCUUGUGAUUACAUUGAGCUCAGCCCGAUAAUCCAGAAUAACCUCCUCAUCUCAAGAUUGUUAACAUCAUACCUUCAAAGUCCUUUUUGCCAGGUAAGAUAAAGUAUUCACAGACUCUGAAGAUUAGGAUGUAGACAUCUUUAGAGGACCAUUAUUCAGUCUACGACAACAGUAAGUACCCCCUUUGCAAAAUAUGUUGCUAUAAAUACCAAUUAAAUCUUGAAAGAAACUUUUCAAAAGCUGGUCUUUUAAAAUUGUUCCUAAAGAAAUAGCUGGGAAAAAAAAUACAGAUUUAAUAGAACUGCUACACCUUUUCUAUGAUAAUCCAUUCAUUUAUUCAGUAGAUAUUUAUUUUUAAAAGUGCCAUGUUUCCAGCACUUUCUCGGUUUCUCCUCAUGGAACUUACAUCAUAGUAGAGGGAGGAAAUUACAAUAACUAAACAAAAAAAUAAGUGCUAUAGUUUCCAGGCCCUGUGAAAUAAAGUUGAGUGAAGGAAGAUAAUUACUAUUUGGGACAAGGAUAUUUCUCUAAAGAAAGUGACAUUGGUACAGUCUUGAAUUAAAUGAGAGAGAAGACAAAGUGAAUACUUGUGUGUAGAUAUUUCUGGGGAGGAACAUUUCUAUUAGGAGGUUCUUUGCGUCAAAAACAUACUAUUCUUAAGUGAAUAAUAAUUUACUAUAUCGUAAUAAAAAUAAGAAAUUUCUCUUAAUCUGUUGUCGUACCAGAUAUAACCUAAGGGAUCCUGACGCAAAAUAAAAAAUGAGGAUGCUCUCUCACAGGUACGACGUGGAAACAGACUCAGAUAGAAUCAACUCCAUAAUUUUCAAAAGGAGAAGAGUUCAGUCAUUAAAUUCUUUACUCAUUAAGCUCCAUAGAUAUCAGAACAUCAUUUGAAGAUGCUUGUUUCUCCUCUGCCCAAGAUGAGAGUCAAAACUUUCCCCAGAUAUUCAUGCCUGCCAAGCCUAUUCAGAAAAGUACUUAAGCAUUCCUGGAUUCAUGGUGAACAAGCAGAGCCUCAUUCCCUGUAAUCAUACAAAAUAGACUCUUUCAUUUGCUGAACAGCGUGAUGCGGGAUUGCGGCAACCGUACGUACUGCUUCUUGAAGAAAGGUAAGUGUGCUUACUGCUAAAUUAACAUUCCCUUGGGAAAAAAAAAACUAAAUUGUGUUUUCUGGUGGCUAAUCACAGAAUGGGUAAAUUCUAUGACUCAAGAUAAAUACCACCUGCUGACAAUAGUUAUUUCCUUAUUCUCAAUUUUAAUUAAUUACGUUGUCAAAGGUUUUAGCAAACUCUUGGAAGCUGUACCAGAAGUAAUGCUCAUAAGUUAAAUAAAUAAGAGUUUACAUUGCAUCAUUAAAACCCAAAAGCUAUAAUCACACCACGAUAUGUAUUGUCUGAUAAAAUAUGACAGCAAUAAAUAGGCAGAAUUUGCCAAGAUAUACAUUUAUGUUGAAAUUUGCUUUCCUGAAUUAUUAAAUUGAAGACAUGAUUAAAGAGUAACAAAAUCAAGGGAUUUAAUCAAAUUUCAUAAUAUGCAGUUUUUGUAGGUGAAAAGAAGUAUUGAACAUCUCUAGAAGCAAUAAUUAGUAUUCCGCUUAACAGCCUACUGCUUAUGCCUCCAAAAUAGAUUGCUUAAAUUAAACAUAUUCAUAUAGAAAUAAUCAUGUUUGGCAAAAGUCCCUGACCAUUUUCUUGAGAUUUACAGAGGAAAAGAUAUAUGUUUCAUGGUACAGAAAUAUAUUAAUAAGAUAAUAUUUACUUUAUUUCAUUUCUUCAAACUUUUCAUAAAAUACUAUAAUUAAUUUUGUAGGUUAAAUAUUUAUGGUCUCAUUAAUAUUUACAAGACAUUUGUCUUCUUUGUUAUACCUUUGCUAAAAUUGUUAAGGUGUAUUUGGCCAACAUAAUAACUGUAAAGAAUUUUGCAGAGAUGAGAAAAAUUAAAAUGGUUAUAAUGAAAUCCCAUUUUUAAGACAUGAUUAUUUACAAGUAAUUUUGUGUUGUAUACAUCAAAAUAUUUAAGAAGGAUAAAAACUUUGAGAAAUCUAUUUGAAAAGCUAGUGUUUGAAAUAAAACCUGGAAAGGUCAAUGCUUUUGGAAAAUGGAGAAAAACCCAGAGAGAUGUCUCCUUAUGCUCAGUGGUAAGGGUACUACAACCUUGGCUCCCUCAUUGCCUACUACACAUAGGUUGGUGCCAUAUUCAUCAUAUUCUCACCUUUCUAUAGAGGAAAAAUUAUUUUAUACUUUAUGUAGCUGUGACCAAAGAUUUCACAAAAUAGAGCAGGAUAAGUGAGAACAGUUCUUCUCUUUCUCUCUUUUUGCAUCAAGCUAGUUUCUGUACUUCAUCUUUAUCAUUGUUGCCAGGCAAUGGCGUAUCCAUCAUCCCAGAUCCUCUUACACUAACCAUUGUUAUGGCAGGACAAGAAACUGAACUGUCAUCUAGUAGGCGCUCGAUAAGUACAUGCUGAAUUAAACAAGAACAUGUCUUCCUAUAUCUAAAUUGUCAUCUGUUGUGCACACGGAGUUUCAAUGAAAUUUGAAAACACUUCCUUUCCGUGUGAUUUUUGGAGAUCCCUUUCAUGAGCUUAUUUUUAUUGAAUACAUGUUCUACCUGUGAACUGCCAGAAACAUUCAGUCAGUUUGAAGAACGAAGAACAUAGGAGCAGAAAAACAGCAAAAGCAAAGAAAAAGAGGAUAAAGGAGAUUUUUAGUCCUUUUGUUGCUGGAUUUUUUCCAGAAGUUUUUGGAUGUUUAUCUUUGUCUCAGAGUUAUUAGAACACGGCAGGAACCCUUUUUGUUAUUAUUUUAAUUUUUUUCUUAUUCUAUAUUAUCAAAACUUGGCAUUAUUGAUGAAACAAUCUUAGUUAAUAGGUCUUUCUUUUAGAAUGAGCAAUUCCAUUCAAGAAAUGAUUGUGAGAACCUUAUAGUUUUGUAUAUAACAUUUUUACUAAGUAGUGUGUUAUUUGAUAUACAAUGAGGUGAUAAAGAACAUGGUUUUGAAGGUAGAGAGUGUUAGUUUUGGGUCCCAGAGAUAAAACUUCAGCAGUUAACUCAAUCCUUCUAGGCGUCUGAUCCUUAAGUGGAAAUGUGGGCUUGCAUGCUUGCAAAUGUUAUCAUGUGUUCUAAGACCUUAACACAGUGCCUGGUAUAUAAUAAGCACAUGAUAUGUAUUAUUAUUAUUAUUACACCUGUAAAAUUUAAUGAGAAGACAAAAUGUCCAUAAUUGAAAGAGUAUGAUAUAAGAGACAAUAACAAAUUAUACAUAGAGCUACUGUGGAAACACUGAAAAAGCAGCUUACUAAUAUGACAGCAUGGUAAAUAUUUCCCUCAGAGAGAAAAUGUUUUUCCUGUAAUAAUUUUUUGGGUUUCUAUUCUUGUAUAUAAGACACAAUUGUAAGUCAUACUCUUGAACGAGCAAAUGUGAACUGGACAGUAAAGAACCAGAAGGAUUUCAACAAAUGGAGAUGUAGGGGAGACAUUUCAGACUACAGGAGGGAGAAAAUGUGAAGGAAGGUGUAUAUAGGGAAGCAAGCUAAGUGUCUCCAGGAAUACUUGUCCUGAAGUCCACAGAGUUGGUGAAGAAUAGGGCAACGUAAAGGUGGGAGAGUCAACACCAGAUUGCAGAGGGGCAUCUGUCGCCCUAAUGAUUACCCAGGUAAGUUCAAUGGUUUUGGCUACUUGUCACCCACCAUUUAAUGUGCAUCCCUACUCAAACAUAUCCCACUGGAAGGAGAAAAUCUAUUUCAGCCAAAGAAGGGAUAUUCUUGCUUCAGUAAUUUGCUAGUAGCUAAACUGCCCUGCUGGAACCAUUAAACAAAAUCUAAAGAUUCAUUUAUGGUACAAAAAAUAAUAUCAUCUCUUCAUCCCCUGCUUGGGUGGAAGGUACAGGAUGCUGUGCAUGGGUGUGGGUGAUUCGGGGACUCUAUUGAAGAGGAGUACUUUCCUGGAGGCCUCUUACCAGCAUUCAGUCAAAUUCCGCCUCAAGAACAGAGUCAAGGGAAGCAGUCUUGGCGGGAGAAGUUUCUGAUAAUGAGAAUAGACUAACAAGAGCUGUCCAGAGAUGUGCAAAAUCCCACUGGUUCGCUCCUCAAUUCCUUGUACUAUAGUAAGUUUACUCACAGGCUCAAAUACCUUGAGAGACAUCUAGAGGAGUCUUUACAGGCCAGAAUGAAAAAUUAUCAUUCAAAAUACAUUGUGAUUUUCAGUGAAAUGCAAAUCACAAUUUUAACUAUAAAUAGAGCUCUCCAGAGCUCAAGGUUCAAAUGAGGUCACAUUAACAUUUAACUCAACUCUCACUCAUUCUUGUUGUCCUCCCUUUCUUCAACAGGUCUCCAGGCCCAGGUGAAGUACACAAACCAACAUUUGUGCUGCUUUACUAGGGUAAAGCUUUGCCAUCCACAGUUCCUGACUAAUGGCCAGCGCUACUUCUCUAGUCAUAGCAAGAGCCAGGGUUGCUCUGCUGGCCCCCUGGAAACAGCCCUGCCUCCAAUGAUCUCUGAUGGGCAAACAUCACAGCUUCACCUUGCUGUCAAGAACAACUGUAGUUUGCUGGGUUGAGUCAGCAGAAUGCAACAAGGGGAAGAUUCCCACCAUUCUGGAGUAAACUCUUUCAAAGCAAUGUUGGGUUUUUCUCAAUGAUUUACGAAUAGCUUUUUUGAAAUUUUCUUAUAGUCCCUUACAUGUACACAGGGCAAGACCAAAGCCAAAUUAAAGAAAUAGAAAUCAUAAACUCUGAAGAAUCUCUAUUCCUCUUUGGAUUACUAAGAAUUUGUUUCUCAGUUGAUGCUAUUUUGCUAGGCAACUUCCAAAAUUUCCUAGAGCAAAAUUUCUCUCACGACAUUUUCAGGGCCCACAUCAAUAGACUUCUGUCAGUUUAUCCCAUUAAUUUUCAGAAACACAAUUGUGGAUAUCUGGACUCUAAUAAGUGGUGCAGAUCCAAGAGAAUCUUUGCCUCCAUAUGAAUGGAAUUUUAUCAGGUUGGUCCCAUCAGAUUUCCAAAUAUGUCCAUAAAUACCUAAAAUCCUAGCAGUGUACAGAUAGAGCUAAAUUCAAAAUGAGAAGGUACCUGUUACAUUAAAAAUUAU
ensembl:lncRNA